rnacentral:lncRNA from 1 species
UGCUUCAAAACAUAUAUACCCAAGCAAGUAGGAUAAAAACAUGUAACGUAAUACAAGCCAUUUCUUUGAACACUGAUCUUGUAAUCACAUUCUUUCAUUAAGCAUGACUUUCAACUUCAAUUUGAAAUACACUUCUUUAGCAUCAAAAUGAAGCUACAACUUCUAAUUGAAUGAUCAUGAGAACACAUACCCAGCAGCCUCAUGACAAAGAAUGCAUGGAGGAGACCCUCAAAACCAUUUCAGCUAUGUGAUCCUCCUCAUUUAUCUCGUGUAUAUAUGCCCCUGAUUUGUGCAGAGCUGGAUUACAAUGAUUCAUGAUUAGGAAUAAAUACUUAUAUCCAUAAAGUCACAAAACAUUUUUAAGAAAUAAAAGGAAGAUAAAUAGUUAAUUAUGGUGGCCUGCUUGUGAUGGAAGGAAUGGUAUCGGAUAAUGCACAAUGCAGCUGAUGACAGAGUAGUUGUUUUCUUUAGCCACCUGCAUAAUGGCACAAAAUCAUACAAUACUCCAUUUAUUUAACUGCACCACCUGCCAGAUCUUUUUGAACAAAAAAUUGCAAAUCAAGUACAUAUAGUAAUCAUGGCCCUAGGACAUCAUGACAUUAUCAAGCCACAUUUUACAGAAUAAACUCCAUAUUAGUCCCAUAUUAUUUAGAAUAAAUUUCAUAUCUUGUGUUGUAAGCUGGAUAGUGGUAAUUAAAACUUUCUAUGAAAUAUUGUAGAAUAGACAAUUGAGGAGGAAUGAAGUUCUAUGAUGAAAAGAAAGACUCGUUGAAAAAGAGAAGUAUCCAAUAGCGAUACCGCAAAGGAAAACAUAAGUUAGAAAAUGCAAACCAAAACUCUGCUCUCCCAGCCAAAAAUAAUAAACACUAAUGGAGCCAUAUGCAU